rnacentral:misc_RNA from 1 species
CAACAAAACGCAAAUGUAAAAAGAUAGCGGAAAGGAGAGAGAUUAGCUCUGGGUUUGCUGCGACCUACCCUUAGCUGGUUACAUCACUUUCCGGAUUCGAGAACGACCUCCGGCAACUGAAAUAUUCGCCGGAAAAUCGCAGGCGGGAAGUAGAUGCAAGAAUCGACUCUGUUCCCAUUCUUUCAGGCCAGUCCAGCCAGCAUCUACCCAUAGUUCCCUCAAACCCAACGACGAAUGCGGACCGGUAUUUUCGCCGGAAACCAAGCGAAUACAUAUGAAGAUGGGUCCUGCUCCUAAACAACCUUCGUUUUGUCUGAAAUGGCCAUGGGAUGUUGAACAACAUCCUAAAAAUCCUAAUGUAUGCACCUUUGAGGUUCCUUGGCUAUUCAAAUCUUUUCAUACUCUUGGGUCCAUUGCUUUCAAUUCACUGAACUCAAUUGCCAAAUCUUCAAAUUCUUGGUUGCAUACCUUUAAUGCUGUCAAAAUGGAUGCUGGAACAAGCCAAAAUAACAGUUUGAAGUUGCAAAGAAAGCACUUAACUCUUGAAGAGCAAGGAGAGGCAGAGCAAAGAGCAUUUGCCUCCGCACUAGCAACUGGGAAAGAGGCUACUGUGCUGGAGUUCUACUCACCCAAAUGUAGGUUGUGCAAUUCUUUGCUUAAUUUUGUCCUGGAGGUCGAGAGCAGGAAUUCAAGUUGGCUUAAUGUUGUAAUGGCAGAUGCAGAGAAUGAGAAAUGGCUGCCUGAGCUGCUCCAUUAUGACAUAAGAUAUGUUCCUUGCUUUGUACUGUUGGACAAAAAUGGGAGAGCAUUGGCAAAGACGGGUGUUCCAAGUAGUCGACUACAUGUCAUUGCAGGCCUGUCGCAUCUUCUGAAAUUAAAGCGUCCUCAGGGUAAUAAUACAAUAACUAAGUCUUAAUCCCAAACCAGUAGUGGUCAGUUAUAUAGAUCAAUUUUCGGCAUUCGCCCUCAGGAUAAUAAUGGCUAGACUAAAUUGUAUUUUGAUCAUCAUAAAUUACCAUCAUUGUAUAAUAGUCUUUAUAAAGUCAUCUAGGAGCGAGUUUUCCUUUUUCAAAAG